AGAAUCAACGCUGGCGGCGCGCUUAACACAUGCAAGUCGAACGCGAAAGCCUGACUUCGGUUGGGCAAGUAGAGUGGCAAACGGGUGAGUAACACGUGGAUAACCUACCCUCGAGUGGGGAAUAACCCCGGGAAACUGGGGCUAAUACCGCAUACGAUCCAUCGGACUAAGUCCGGUGGCUGAAAGCCUUCGGGCGCUGGAGGAGGGGUCCGCGGCCGAUUAGCUAGUUGGACGGGUAAAAGCCCACCAAGGCACAGAUCGGUA
rnacentral:rRNA from 1 species